GGAGGAAUAUUGCACAAUGGAGGAAACUCUGAUGCAGCGACGCCGCGUGAGCGAUGAAGUAUUUCGGUAUGUAAAGCUCUAUCAGCAGGGAAGAUAAUGACGGUACCUGAGUAAGAAGCUCCGGCUAAAUACGUGCCAGCAGCCGCGGUAAUACGUAGGGGGCAAGCGUUAUCCGGAUUUACUGGGUGUAAAGGGAGCGUAGACGGAAUGGCAAGUCUGAUGUGAAAGGCCGGGGCUCAACCCCGGGACUGCAUUGGAAACUGUCAAUCUAGAGUACCGGAGGGGUAAGUGGAAUUCCUAGUGUAGCGGUGAAAUGCGUAGAUAUUAGGAGGAACGCCAGUGGCGAAGGCGGCUUACUGGACGGUAACUGACGUUGAGGCUCGAAAGCGUGGGGAGC
rnacentral:rRNA from 1 species